rnacentral:rRNA from 1 species
CUACGGGGCGCUCCAGUGAGGAAUAUUGCACAAUGGGGGGAACCCUGAUGCAGCAACGCCGCGUGGAGGAUGACGCACUUCGGUGUGUAAACUCCUUUUAUAUGUCAAGAAAAUGACGGUAGCAUAUGAAUAAGCACCGGCUAACUCCGUGCCAGCAGCCGCGGUAAUACGGAGGGUGCAAGCGUUACUCGGAAUCACUGGGCGUAAAGGACGCGUAGGCGGGUUGGAAAAUCAGGUGUGAAAUCCUACAGCUUAACUGUAGAACGGCACUUUAAACUUCUAAUCUAGAGUAUGGGAGGGGGAGAUGGAAUUGGUGGUGUAGGGGUAACAUCCGUAGAUAUCACUAGGAAUACCUAAAGCGAAGGCGAUCUCCUGGAACAUUACUGACGCUAAGGCAUGAAAGCGUGGGGAGCAAACAGGAUUAGAUACCCGAGUAGUC